AUAGUGGGGUUGUUGGGUGUGUGUGUGUUUUUUUAAAGAUUAAUAAUGAAUCCUUACAAAAGGCAUUGGUUACAAACAAAAUACAGUGCCAAGGAUAGUCCUGACUUAAGCACAUGACUCCCAGCAUCCAGGAUUGUUUGUUUCCUCCCCCUUGAAGGUGUCAUUGGUUCUUAAGGAAGCUGCCGGGAGUUCCCAAGGGGGUUGGAUGCUCUAAAAAAUGAGAGAGCUCCAUGUGAUAAAUGCCAAGAUCUCAAGCAGUACAUGAGAGUGAGGAAAGGGAGGGAAGAGGCAGCAAGCAAGUGGAAAAAACAGCAGAGCUCUGAGAGUGAGGAAGCCCUAAAGUCAAUCAUCCUUUCAUAUUUUUUCACUUCCUUCUGCCACACUUCCGAUGCCAAGAACACUUUUCUGGAUGUACUGUAAUUGAAGAAUUGGUUCUGAUCUGGACAUCGUGCAGAGUUUUGGAAGGAAUGUACUACGCAAUGCUCAAAGCUGAGACACUAAGUUCUACAUGAUGAGAAUGGACUCAAACCAAAGUAUCUCAUCCCAAGAUGACUAUCUUCCUCACCAGCAGCAAGAUGAAGAUGCUUUUACAUCAAAACUCUCCAAAGAAGCUGACAUCGUAGCUGGAUUUUAUUUAUUGGUAAUUGGAAUAUUGUCAACUUUAGGCAAUGGAUAUGUUAUUUAUAUGUCUAUACAACGGAAGAAGAAACUGAGGCCUGCUGAGAUAAUGACUGUCAAUUUAGCAGUGUGUGACCUGGGCAUUUCAGUGGUUGGAAAGCCUUUCAGUAUAAUUGCCUUCUUCUCUCAUCGUUGGAUUUUUGGUUGGAGUGGCUGCCGUUGGUAUGGAUGGGCUGGUUUCUUCUUUGGCAUUGGAAGUCUUAUUACCAUGACAGCAGUCAGCUUGGAUAGAUAUUUCAAAAUCUGCCAUUUAUCUUAUGGUACGUGGCUGAAGAGACACCAUGCCUUUAUCUGCUUAGGAAUAAUCUGGUCCUAUGCUACAUUUUGGGCAACAAUUCCAUUUGCUGGCUUGGGGAACUAUGCUCCUGAGCCAUUUGGAACCUCGUGCACUCUGGAUUGGUGGCUGGCUCAAGGUUCAGUGGCUGGACAGGCUUUUAUCCUGAAUAUCCUCUUCUUUUGCCUUCUACUCCCAACAGCAGUGAUCAUGUUUUCCUAUAUUAAAAUAAUAGCAAAGGUCAAGUCGUCCGCCAAAGAAGUAGCUCAUUAUGAUACCAGGAUUCAAAACUCUCAUGCUCUAGAAAUGAAAUUAACAAAGGUGGCAAUGUUGAUCUGUGCAGGAUUUCUAAUUGCGUGGAUCCCAUAUGCUGUGGUCUCAGUGUGGUCAGCAUUUGGAAGACCCGAUUCAGUUCCCAUCAAAGUUUCGGUGAUACCAACCUUGCUUGCAAAAUCAGCAGCUAUGUACAACCCUGUUAUUUACCAGGUCAUUGAUUGCAAAUCUUCCUGUUGUCGACCAGGUGGUCUCAAGCCGUUGCAGAAGAAAAACUCCUUGAAGAAGUCCAGCUGAGUACACUUCUGUUAUCAGAGACUGGUGGAGGAGAAAAGGUGUCUGAUGAGAGAUGCUACAGGCAGGCUGUACACAAUAUCUACAGAUAACAAGUCUGAUGUAACUAAUGAAACUCAACUGGACAGUGUAUGAAACCCUUUCAACAGUCAGUUAACCAACCAGUCAACCAUUUUCUUUCCAAAUGCUUCCUUUGCAAAUGUGUUUAUAAUUGUAGCAAUUUCACUUUGCUUUUUUUUUUACAGUGUCAUGUUUACUGUGCAUUUCCCCCACGUUAACUGGAAGAUGAACACUUUAAAAUAUAUGUCAUUUUGUCUGAGUUUGAAAUGUGUAAACCGGGGCUCUAUUAUAAUUAGGGUUUUUUAAACAACUCAUUAAGGUUUUUAUAUACAUAUAUGGUAAUGAGG